UACGGAGGGUGCUAGCGUUGUUCGGAAUCACUGGGCGUAAAGCGCGUGUAGGCGGCCUGCGAAGUCUGAUGUGAAAGCCCGGGGCUCACCCCCGGAAGUGCAUUGGAAACUGGCAGGCUCGAGUCCCGGAGAGGAGGGUGGAAUUCCUGGUGUAGCGGUGAAAUGCGUAGAUAUCAGGAGGAACACCGGUGGCGAAGGCGGCCCUCUGGACGGUGACUGACGCUGAGACGCGAAAGCGUGGGGAGCAAACAGG
rnacentral:rRNA from 2 species